rnacentral:rRNA from 1 species
GUGCCAGCCGCCGCGGUAAGACGAACCGUGCAAACGUUGUUCGGAAUCACUGGGCUUAAAGGGCGCGUAGGCGGGGGACCAAGUCCGGGGUGAAAUCUUUCGGCUCAACCGGAAAACUGCCUUGGAUACUGGUCUUCUUGAGGGAGGUAGGGGCAGGUGGAACUUCCGGUGGAGCGGUGAAAUGCGUUGAUAUCGGAAGGAACGCCGGUGGCGAAAGCGACCUGCUGGAUCUCUUCUGACGCUGAGGCGCGAAAGCUAGGGGAGCGAACGGGAUUAGAUACCCGCGUAGUCC